CCUUUGCCCCUUCCCCUUCCAACAGCAACGACUGCCACGCCAACCUCAACAUCAACUGGGUCUCGCCCAAGUCGCAGCCACACGUCUACCAGCAGACCGAGACGUCGCACCACACGACCACGACGCAAAAGA
rnacentral:ribozyme from 1 species